GACGAACCGUGCGAACGUUAUUCGGAUUCACUGGGCUUAAAGGGCGCGUAGGCGGCGAUUCAAGUCUGGGGUGAAAGCCUUCGGCUUAACCGGAGAAGUGCCUUGGAUACUGGAUCGCUCGAGGGGGAUAGGGGCAUGCGGAACUUCCGGUGGAGCGGUGAAAUGCGUAGAUAUCAGGAGGAACACCUGUGGCGAAAGCGGCUCACUGGACCACAACUGACGCUGAGGCGCGAAAGCUAGGGGAGCAAACAGG
rnacentral:rRNA from 1 species